rnacentral:rRNA from 1 species
GACGAACGCUGGCGGCGUGCUUAACACAUGCAAGUCGAACGGUAAGGCCCUUCGGGGUACACGAGUGGCGAACGGGUGAGUAACACGUGGGUGAUCCGCCCUGCACUUCGGGAUAAGCCUGGGAAACUGGGUCUAAUACCGGAUAGGACCACUGCCUGCAUGGGUGGUGGUGGAAAGCUUUUGCGGUGUGGGAUGGGCCCGCGGCCUAUCAGCUUGUUGGUGGGGUGAUGGCCUACCAAGGCGACGACGGGUAGCCGGCCUGCGAGGGUGACCGGCCACACUGGGACUGGGAAACGGCCCAGCGUCCUUCGGGAGGCAGCAGUGGGGAAUAUUGCACAAUGGGGGAAAGCCUGAUGCAGCGACGCCGCGUGAGGGAUGACGGCCUUCGGGAUGUAAACCUCUUUCAGCACCGACGAAGCGCAAGUGACGGUAGGUGCAGAAGAAGGACCGGCCAACUACGUGCCAGCAGCCGCCGUAA